rnacentral:tRNA from 1 species
GAUAGCUCAACGGUAGAGCAUCCGGCUGUUAACCGGAGGGUUGCAGGUUCGAAUCCUGCUC